rnacentral:lncRNA from 1 species
AUUUAGAGCUAGUGUUAAGGAUAGAGUUUGAUUUGUUCAAAUUACUUUGAUACUGGGAAGAUUUAUCUUUUACCUAGCCUUUCCAUGUGCCCCAGUUUUGGGCCUUCUCUGCUCAAUGGUUCACUCUUGGGAAUAGUUGUUUUUAAUGUCUCACUUCAUUUUGACCUAUAUGGGUAAAUGAAAAUGGAGCUGUAAAUCAGAUGGUUGGUGCUAGCUGGUUGAAACUUCACAUACUCAAAUCAAUUUUCUGUGGGCACUCUCUGGUUUCCUCCUUGUAAAAGUAGCCAUAAGCUGAAGCAUGCAAAACAACUUUAUCCAAGAGCACUAUAGGAGGAAACAGGGCAAUAUGCAUGUACUGAAAUACCUCCCCCAAUUAUUUGGUCAGAAUUCUUUGAUACUGUGCAGGAUCCAUCUGUAAGCUUUCCCCACUAGUCUCCCCAAGUUUAAAACUUUUAUGAUCAAAGGUUCUCUUAACAGAUUAGUCCUAGGUUUAUGGUUAGAGUUAGGGCAAGUGUUAGAACUAGUGUUAGUGUUAGAGUUAGUUUUUUUCAACUUUUUGGAUACUGGACAGGAUUUAUCUUUUUCCUAUUCUUAGUAUGCUACCCAUGUUUAGGCCUCCUAGGUAAAAGGAUUUCCUCUCUGAAGCAGUUUUAAUUUUCAUCUUUCACUUCAUUUUGCCCUAUAUGUUUGAAUAAAAAUGGAGCUGGACUCAAACAGGGUUUGUGCUAAGUGCUUGAAACUUCACACACUCAAUCAGUUCUCAGGGCACCUUCCCUCAUUUGUUUCUUGUGGUAGUAGUUCAUAGCUGAAUUAGAAUAAACAGCUUUAUCUAUAACCACUUUAAGAGCAAUCUUCAAUUAUUUUUGCAUGGAUUACUUUGAAAUUGUACAGGAUUCAUCCUUUUCCUAGUCUUAGUAGUAUCCCCAAGUUUGGGUUUUCAAGGUUUGCCAGUUCACCAUCAGGAACAGUUGGAAUUUUUAGGUUUCACUUUAUUAUGACUUAUAGAUGUGAAUGAAAAUGGAGCUGUAAAUCAAACAGAGUUAUUACUAGCUGCUUGAAACUUUUCACAUUCAAUCAGUUCUCUGUGAGCACUCUCUGGUUGUUCCUUGUUAAAGUACCUUGAACUGAAGCAUGAAAAAAUAAUUUAUCCAAGAGCACAUUAGGAGAAAACAGGGAAAUAUGAAUGUACUGAAAUACCUCCCCAAAUACUUCAUCAGAUUUCUUUGAUACUGCACAGGAUUCAUCUGUUAGCUUGCCCAUCAGGAUCCUUUUUUGGGGGACUACUAUGAUCAAUGGUUUUCUAAACAGGUUAGUUUAGAUUUAGUAUUAGGUUGGGGCUAGGGUUACAGGUAGUAUUUUGUUAGAGUUAUUAUUGUUCAUUUUUUUGUUACUGGGUAGGAUUCAACUUUUACCUAACCUUACUAUAUUCUCUAGGUUUGGGCUUUUUGGGUCAAGGGUGUGCUCUCCUGAACAGUUUGUAUUUUAAGUUUUCAUUUCAUUUUUACCUAUGCGUGUAAAUGGAAAUGGAGCUGGAAAUCCAACAGGGUUGGUGCUAGCUACUUCAAACCUCACACACUCAAUCAGUUUUCUAUGGGAAUUCUCUUGUUUAUUCCUUGUACAAGUAGCCCUAAGCUGAAGCAUGCAAAGCAACUUUAUGUGAGAGCACUUUAGGAUACAUAGGGAAAUAUGCAUGUACUGAACUACCUCCCCAAUUAUUUGCUCUGAUUUCUUUGAUAUUGUAAAAGGUUCAUCUGUUAGACUACCCAAAUUGGCUCCCCAAGUGUGGGACUUCUAGGAUCAAAGGGACUCUAAACAGUUUAAGGUUAGUGUUAGGGUUAGUGUUUGGACUAGGAUUAGACCUAGUGUUAAGGUAAGAGUUUUUUUUUUUUUCAAAUUUCUGUGAUAGUGUGCAGGAUUCAUCUUUUUCCUAUUUUGACUAUACUCCAAAUGUUUAGGCCUCCUACAUAAAGUGUUUGCCUUCAGGAACAGUUUCAAUUAUCAUGUUUCUCUUCUUUUUGCCCUAUAGGGGUAAAUGGAAAUGAAGCUGGAAAUAAAACAGGGUUUGGGCUAGCUGCUUGAAAAUUCACACACUCCAUCAAUUUUCAGUGAGCAUAAUCUGGUGUUUGCCAUGGAAGUAGACAUAAGAUGAAAUAGAAAGUAACAGCUUUAUCUCUGAAUGCUUUAGGAACCAGCAGAAUACAUAUAUACUGAAAGAGCUUCAAAAUUUUUUGGUUUGAAUAAUUUGAUACUGUACAGGAUUCAUCCUUGAACUACCCUUAGGAGGCUCACCAAGUUUGGGCCUUCAAGGUUCAAUGGUUCAGUGUCAGAAUCAGUUUGAAUUUUUAGGUUUCACUUCAUUAUGGCCUAUAGGUGUGAGUGCAAUGGAGCUAGAAAUCAAACAGGGUUGGUGCUAGCUGCAUGAAAAACUUCAUACACUCAAUUAGCUCUUUGUGGGCACUCUUUGAUUCUUCUUUGUGAAAGUUCCUUAAGCUGAAGCAUGAAAAACAAUUUAUCCAUGAGCACUUUAAGAAAAAAACAGGGAAAUAUGAUUGUACUGAAAUACC